rnacentral:rRNA from 1 species
GGUCCUGUUCCGGCCGGAUCCGCGGCGGUGCUCAUAUCCCGUGAGGUGGCCGGUGACUCGCGGGACGACGGCGACGCAAGACCAUGGGAGGAGCUCAUCUCAUGGGGCUGGGGCAUGAGGUCCUGUUGGCUUCGGUUGCCGGUGGCUUGACGCAGGGGUGGCGGGGGUCCGGCAUCUCUUCGAGAGCGAGGAAGCAGACGACGACGAUAACUUUGAGGCCGACGGGGGCACCGUCUCCGCGUUCGAUGGUCGUGGUGAACACCGUGGGCUCCAACGCGGCCGCCGUUGGCUCUACCCCCUACAGGUUUACACGAAGAGGUAGAAUGCCGGCAGCUGGAAUUCUGGGCUGGAAAAUGAGCAAAUAUUAGAGACUUAUUCUGCACAACUCCAAAAGUCCUGAAACUCCACGGAAGUCAGUUUUGGAAUAUAUAAAAAAUAUUGGGCAAAGAAAGCACCAGAGGGGGGCCACCCACCAUCUACGAGGGUGGGGGCGCGCCCCCUGUCUCGUGGGUCCCAUGGCAGGCCUCUGGUGCCCUUCUUUGGCUAUAUGAAAUCUUUCGCUCUAGAAAAAAUCAUAAGCAAGCUUUCGGGACGAAGCGCCACCGCUACGAGGGGAACCUUGGCGGAACCAAUUUAGGGCUUCGACGGAUCUGUUCUGCCGGGGAAACAUCCUUCCGGGAGGGGGAAAUCAUCACCAUCGUUAUUAGUAUCGAUCCUCUCAUCGGGAGGGGGUCAAUCUCCAUCAACAUCUUCACCAGCACCAUCUCAUCUAAAAAUCUAGUUCAUCUCUUGCAUCCAAUCUUUGUCCCAAAACCUCAGAUUGGUACCUGUGCGUUGCUAGUAGUGUUGAUUACUCCUUGUAGUUGAUGCUAGUUGGUUUAUUUGGUGGAAGAUCAUAUGUUCAGAUCCUUUAUGCAUAUUAAUACCCCUCU